GUGCCAGCCGCCGCGGUAAUACGGAGGAUGCGAGCGUUAUCCGGAUUUAUUGGGUUUAAAGGGUGCGUAGGCGGGAAAAUAAGUCAGUGGUGAAAACCUGCAGCUUAACUGUAGACUUGCCAUUGAUACUGUUAUUCUUGAGUAUGGUCAAGGUAGGCGGAAUGUGUAAUGUAGCGGUGAAAUGCUUAGAUAUUACACAGAACACCGAUUGCGAAGGCAGCUUACUGGACCAUUACUGACGCUGAUGCACGAAAGCGUGGGGAUCGAACAGGAUUAGAUACCCUGGUAGUCCACGCCGUAAACUAUGAUCACUCGCUGUUAGCGAUACACAGUUAGCGGCUAAGCAAAAGCAUUAAGUGAUCCACCUGGGGAGUACGGCCGCAAGGCUGAAACUCAAAGGAAUUGACGGGG
rnacentral:rRNA from 1 species